UGGUUGCCUUAGAACUAUUCCGAAAGGUGUUGUGAUGAAAGGGGUUGAAAAGUCGACGACAUUUGCUCGUUUAGAAGUUAUUGUAAUUGGACCAGCAGCAAACGCCGCGUUCUGUAAUGAAGGAAAUUAAAUGCAGGUAUGGAGAAGACUACAAUAAAAUUUGGACAGCACCAUGAUACAAAAAUGACGUAAAAUAACGAACAAACAUCAACAAAGCGGUUUAAAGGUUUUUUCUUCUUUGAAAACAAUUACAUUGUACAUUUUGAAACAGGUAUGAUACUGGUGAACAUGCAUACUAUUUUGGGAAAGGAAUAAAUCUGGUAUAUAACUUGU